rnacentral:lncRNA from 1 species
GCGGCAGUGGUGAAGUGGUGGUUUUGUGGUGGAGAAUGAUAUCAAGUGGUGGUGAAAAGAAUAGAAAUUGGUGGUGAAAAGGAGGAGGCUUAGAGGCUAAACUAAAACAAAAAGCGAGGAAAGGAAGACCAAGGAGGAGGAACGGGCAAAGGGGGAGGAAGAGAAAACAAAAUGAAAGAAAAAUGUGAAUGGUGGCUACCUUAGGUGGGAUGCAUGGCUCAAGCUUCGUAAAUGGGAUAAAGUGGAAGCUUUGGGGACAAUGGCAUGAAAUGUGGAUCAUGGGGAACAUAUGGAGUGAAAGGGAGUUUAUG